rnacentral:misc_RNA from 1 species
GGAAAAUUAAGAAAUAAUGAAAACAAACGUUUACUAGUUCAACAGUCGCCUUCAGUGUUUUAUAACUUUUUAUCUUAUUGUAUGUACAUGAAAAUUAAUUAAUUCAUAUAUAGAAGAAAACAAAGUAAAUUAUAUUAACAGUAAUGUCAGAAAACGGGAAGACAUUUGAAGAAUCACACUUCCAUCUUUAUGACUUUCCUACAGUCUCAAUCCCUCGAUUAAGUCAUUUGAAUCCUGAUACUGACAGGCUUAUUUCAGAAAUGAAGCCUGUAGUCCUGACUGAUACAGAAUUAGUUGCCUCUGCUCAAAAAUGGAACCUUGACUACUUAGAGAAGAACAUUGGUCCUGGGUCUUAUACUGUUUACCUUUCAAACAAUAAAAAAUUCAAAUAUUUUGAUGAAAGUAAGAUACGAGAACACAACUUGAAUUUUACCCCUCCCACUGAACGAAUUGAAAUGAAAUUUUGGGAUUUUGCUGAGCGUCUUCGAAACUGGAAAGAUGGUGAAAAAAGAAUGUAUCUACAACAGCCUCUGAAUGAUACUGUGGGAAAGAAUAUGGUUGAUGAUUUUCUAAGUUUUAAUUGGAACUGGAUAGCAAGGCAGAAAAAAGAAAACAAUUGGGGACCUCUAACAUCUAAUCUUCUAUUGAUUUCUACUCCAGGUAACAUCACACCAGUCCACUAUGAUGAACAGGAAAACUUCUUUGCUCAAAUCCAUGGCUACAAAAGGUUCAUAUUGUUUUCUCCUGAUUGUUAUGAUAAACUCUAUCCUCAUCCUGUUUGGCAUCCUCAUGAUCGACAGAGUCAAGUUGACUUUGAUGUUCCCCAGUAUGAUAAGUUUCCAAAAUUUCAUGACAUCAGUGGACAGGAGGCAGUGUUAGGGCCAGGUGAUGUGCUUUAUCUUCCCAUGUACUGGUGGCAUCAUGUUGAAACUGUACAGCAUGGAGACUAUGCAGUUUCUUUAAAUUUCUGGUACAAGGACCUUCUGGAAAAAUUACAUAUCCUCUUCAAGGUUUCCAGAAGAUGGCAGUAAUGAGAAAUAUUGAAAAGAUGUUGGUAGAGACAUUAAAGGAUGUUAAUGAGGUUGGACCAUUAUUACAAGCUUUGGUGGAAGGACGGUAUACUUAGCUAUUAUUCAGAUACAUGGUCUAGUUUUCAAUAAAGAUUUUGUAAAGUGAAAGUUAUUUGUAAAACCUUUUAUUCCCUAAAAAUUUUUGGUGCUGAUUGUCUGAUUCCUGGCAAUGUCUUUGCAAAAUAAAAUGUCUAAAUAUUUUGGGAUUAGUUUAAAGUAAACUAUUAUGUUAAGUUUAUAAACCUAUAAGUUAAAAAAACAGCCCUCUUCUCAAUUUACUGUUAUUAUUAUUUGAAUAGGAUCAGGCCUUUGAUACAUUUAGUUUCCUAUGAAUGUCUCUCUUAUAACAAUUAUUGGUGUAAUUGUGUUUGUAGCAAAACAAAAGUAGGUAUAUAGACAAAUUAUUGAAUUCUGUUCCUACAUUACAUUAUUGUAAAUAUAUACUCCUUUGCAUUUUAUCUGGAUAGUUUGAGAUCCACUUUUAAGAUAAAAUGUGAACAUUAUUCCUUUUUGUUUUUUUCAGGAAACAACAUUUGUCACACAAAAGUUUGCUAUCAUUUGUUAGAUAAUAUAUGUAUCAGUUCAUGGUGUUUCCAAUAAUAUUUUUACUUCAGUGCAUUUCAAGUUUAAUUAUGUUCUCAAGUUGUAAACAAAUAUCUUAUAGUCUACACUCUUUAAAAUGUCUUCAAACUUUUAUUGGAAUAUGCUUGGGAAUUGUUGCUUACUUCAGUUAAAGUUUCUCUUUCUUUUAAAAUGCUUUUAAUGAUUGAUAACUUAUUUAUCUUAUAGUUUUUCUGUCAUGUGAAGUUUUAUUACUAAGGUGGUUGUAUGUUUAUUCUAUAGUUUUUUUGGUUUGUUUUCAGAGAGACAUUAAUGAUUGUUACUCACUUCUUUUACUAAUUUCAAAUCCUAUUUUGGCAUUCUAUUAAUGGUUGCUGUUUGCUUCACUGUACGUUUCCCUUCUCUUUGAGAGCUCUUUGUGGGUCUUUGUAAUUCAUGUUUUAGUUUUUUUUUCUUUUGGACUGAUCUUAAUGGUUUUUACUUCUGUUUCUAAUAGUUUUCUUUCCCAAUGAAAAUUUUUUAUUAUUUACUCCCAACUUUUCCUUUCUUUCGGAGUGCUCUUAAUGGUUGUUGUUUGUUUAUCUGUUAUGGUAUUCCUUACUGUGUAGUGCUCAUAAUAGUUGUUGCUUGCAUAUCUGUUAUAGUAUUUCUUCCUGUGUAGUGCUCAUAAUAGUUGUUGUCUGCUUCUGCUAUACUUUUCCUUUCUUUUUGAUGCUCUUAAUGGUUGUUUAUUUGUUUAUCUCUUAUGUUAUUCCUUCCUGUGUAGUGCUCAUAAUAGUUGUUGCCUACUCCUGCUAUACUUUUCCUUUUGUAUGGAGUGCUCUUAAUAGUUGUUGUUUGUUUAUCUGUUAUAGUAUUCCUUCCUGUGUAGUACUCAUAAUAGUUGUUGCCUGCUUCUGCUAUACUUUUCCUUUCUUUUUGAGUGUUCUUAAUGGUUGUUUAUCUGUUAUAGUAUUCCUUCCUGUGUGGUGCUCAUAAUAAUUGUUGCCUACUUCUGCUAUACUUUUCCUUUUGUAUGGAGUUCUCUUAAUGGUUGUUGCUUGUUUAUCUGUUAUAGUAUUCCUUCCUGUGUGGUGCUCUUAAUGGUUGUUUGUUUAUUUGUUAUAGUAUUCCUUCCUGUGUAGUGCUCAUAAUAGUUGUUGCCUGCUUCUGCUAUACUUUUCCUUUCUUUUUGAGUGCUCUUAAUGGUUGUUUCUUUGUUUAUCUGUUAUAGUAUUCAUUCCUGUGUGAUGCUCAUAAUAAUUGUUGCCUACUUCUGCUAUAUCUUUCCUUUUUUUUUGUAGUGCUCUUAAUGGUUGUUGCUUGUUUGUCCAUUGUAGUUUUCCCUAUUGGAGAGCCCUUAAUAAUUGUUGCUUACCACUCUUACUGCUUCCCAAGUCACCCAUUGCUCUUAAUAGUUGCCAUUUACUUUUGUUAUAGUUUUUAAUGGUUGUUCCUUACAUGACUUAUAGUCUCAUUUUGUUUCUGAUGGCUUCCAAAUGCUGUUACUCACUUCUUUUAUAUUUUGUCUUUCUUGUUGUUUGGUUGCCCUCUCUUUUGGAAAUCCCUUAAUGGUUGUUUCUUAUUUCUGUUAUAGGCUGAGCAUGGACCAGUGAUUAGCAUGUCAAACUGUGGAUCUAAGGUUCCAUGGUUCGCACUCUGUUACACUCCCCCCCCCUAAAAAAAAAGGGAAAAACAUCAUGCUCCACACUUUGGGGCUAUGGAUACAUUAUAAGAAUGAUGGUCAAAUCCCACUAUUUGGUUAGAUUGGCUCAUGAAUUGGCAAUGGAUGGCAUUGACUGGCUGCCUUUCCUCUAGUCUAUUACUUCAAAAUUAGAGAUUGCUAGUGCAGAUAGCCCUCAAGUAGCAUUGCUCAAAAUUCAAAACAUAUAAUUUCUAGUAUAUUUUUCCUUUU